AUCAUGGUGGUGGGAAGAUUUGCAUUUGUCUGGCAAAUGUCAUCUUUAAGCAGGCUCUGUGGCCUAACUACUCAACUGGUGGAGUUUUUCCCCAAGGUUAGAGCCUCUGUUGCAAAAAGGAUGGACAGCGUUUCUCUUCUUGGCCUCUGGCUACCUGGACCUGGAAUUCUUCAGGGGUAUUUUCUCUAUUGCUGGAAGAUCUAGCCUGGAAAUAAUGAUCAUCCUUGCUAUUUAGAAAGUAAGAAAGCAUUCUGUGAGAGGAAG